UGUAGCAAGGUUAACCGUAUAGGGGAGCCGUAGGGAAACCGAGUCUUAACCGGGCGUUAAGUUGCAGGGUAUAGACCCGAAACCCGGUGAUCUAGCCAUGGGCAGGUUGAAGGUUGGGUAACACUAACUGGAGGACCGAACCGACUAAUGUUGAAAAAUUAGCGGAUGACCUGUGGCUGGGGGUGAAAGGCCAAUCAAACCGGGAGAUAGCUGGUUCUCCCCGAAAGCUAUUUAGGUAGCGCCUCGUGAAUUCAUCUCCGGGGGUAGAGCACUGUUUCGGCUAGGGGGCCAUCCCGGCUUACCAACCCGAUGCAAACUGCGAAUACCGGAGAAUGUUAUCACGGGAGACACACGGCGGGUGCUAACGUCCGUCGUGAAGAGGGAAACAACCCAGACCGCCAGCUAAGGUCCCAAAGUCAUGGUUAAGUGGGAAACGAUGUGGGAAGGCCCAGACAGCCAGGAUGUUGGCUUAGAAGCAGCCAUCAUUUAAAGAAAGCGUAAUAGCUCACUGGUCGAGUCGGCCUGCGCGGAAGAUGUAACGGGGCUAAACCAUGCACCGAAGCUGCGGCAGCGAACGUAUCACCCAAGACAACUUUACGGAGUUGACGAUUGACGGAGCGAAGCGACGUCAAAGCGUUCAUUAAAGUCGAGUUGGCUUAGGGAUACGUUCGUUGGGUAGGGGAGCGUUCUGUAAGCCUGUGAAGGUGUGUCGUGAGGCAUGCUGGAGGUAUCAGAAGUGCGAAUGCUGACAUAAGUAACGAUAAAGCGGGUGAAAAGCCCGCUCGCCGGAAGACCAAGGGUUCCUGUCCAACGUUAAUCGGGGCAGGGUGAGUCGACCCCUAAGGCGAGGCCGAAAGGCGUAGUCGAUGGGAAACGGGUUAAUAUUCCCGUACUUGGUGUUACUGCGAAGGGGGGACGGAGAAGGCUAUGUUGGCCGGGCGACGGUUGUCCCGGUUUAAGCGUGUAGGUGUGUGUUCCAGGUAAAUCCGGUUCACUUUAACACUGAGGCGUGACGACGAGGCACUACGGUGCUGAAGCAACAAAUGCCCUGCUUCCAGGAAAAGCCUCUAAGCAUCAGGUAACACGAAAUCGUACCCCAAACCGACACAGGUGGUCAGGUAGAGAAUACCAAGGCGCUUGAGAGAACUCGGGUGAAGGAACUAGGCAAAAUGGUGCCGUAACUUCGGGAGAAGGCACGCUGACACGUAGGUGAAGUGAUUUACUCAUGGAGCUGAAGUCAGUCGAAGAUACCAGCUGGCUGCAACUGUUUAUUAAAAACACAGCACUGUGCAAACACGAAAGUGGACGUAUACGGUGUGACGCCUGCCCGGUGCCGGAAGGUUAAUUGAUGGGGUCAGCGUAAGCGAAGCUCCUGAUCGAAGCCCCGGUAAACGGCGGCCGUAACUAUAACGGUCCUAAGGUAGCGAAAUUCCUUGUCGGGUAAGUUCCGACCUGCACGAAUGGCGUAAUGAUGGCCAGGCUGUCUCCACCCGAGACUCAGUGAAAUUGAACUCGCUGUGAAGAUGCAGUGUACCCGCGGCAAGACGGAAAGACCCCGUGAACCUUUACUAUAGCUUGACACUGAACAUUGAGCCUUGAUGUGUAGGAUAGGUGGGAGGCUUUGAAGUGUGGACGCCAGUCUGCAUGGAGCCGACCUUGAAAUACCACCCUUUAAUGUUUGAUGUUCUAACGUGGACCCGUAAUCCGGGUUGCGGACAGUGUCUGGUGGGUAGUUUGACUGGGGCGGUCUCCUCCUAAAGAGUAACGGAGGAGCACGAAGGUUGGCUAAUCCUGGUCGGACAUCAGGAGGUUAGUGCAAUGGCAUAAGCCAGCUUGACUGCGAGCGUGACGGCGCGAGCAGGUGCGAAAGCAGGUCAUAGUGAUCCGGUGGUUCUGAAUGGAAGGGCCAUCGCUCAACGGAUAAAAGGUACUCCGGGGAUAACAGGCUGAUACCGCCCAAGAGUUCAUAUCGACGGCGGUGUUUGGCACCUCGAUGUCGGCUCAUCACAUCCUGGGGCUGAAGUAGGUCCCAAGGGUAUGGCUGUUCGCCAUUUAAAGUGGUACGCGAGCUGGGUUUAGAACGUCGUGAGACAGUUCGGUCCCUAUCUGCCGUGGGCGCUGGAGAACUGAGGGGGGCUGCUCCUAGUACGAGAGGACCGGAGUGGACGCAUCACUGGUGUUCGGGUUGUCAUGCCAAUGGCACUGCCCGGUAGCUAAAUGCGGAAGAGAUAAGUGCUGAAAGCAUCUAAGCACGAAACUUGCCCCGA
rnacentral:rRNA from 1 species